AUUGAACGCUGGCGGCAGGCCUAACACAUGCAAGUCGAACGAGUGGCGGACGGGUGAGUAAUGUCUGGGAAACUGCCUGAUGGAGGGGGAUAACUACUGGAAACGGUAGCUAAUACCGCAUACCAUCAGAUGUGCCCGGAUGGGAUUAGCUUGUUGGGGGGGUAACGGCCCACCAAGGCGAUGAUCCCUAGCUGGUCUGAGAGGGUGACCGGGCACACUGGAACUGAGACACGGGCCAGACUCCUACGUGAGGCAGCAGUGGGGAAUAUUGCACAUUGGGCGCAAGCCUGCUGCAGCCAUGCCGCGUGUAUGAAGAAGGCCUUCGUGUUGUAAAGUACUUUCAGCGGGGAGGCGUUACCCGCAGAAGAAGCACCGGCUAACUCCGUGCCAGCAGCCGCAGUAAUUC
rnacentral:rRNA from 1 species